CUAGAAUUUCUGGGGAGGGGGGAAGGAAUUUUGGGUUCCCUCCCACCCAGAAUUAACAUGAACCCCAUUUCUGUUGAGCAUUACGGGGGGGGUUUUGGGGGUCUCUGUUACUCUGGGUGGUCCCAGGAGUUUUUGGGAACCUGUGCCCACCCUCCCAGGCUGCACCAACCCCUUCACGACCCCCAGACCCUCCAGGAACCCCUUCCAGAGCAGCGGCCCUGGAGCUGCUUUCACCUCUCCUCCCGUUCCUGGGGGCUUCCCCAGCCCCUUCCAGGCUGA
rnacentral:lncRNA from 1 species